GAAGGGACCUAGCGUAGUUCGGAAUUACUGGGCUUAAAGAGUCCGUAGGUGGUUGAAAAAGUUGGUGGUGAAAUCCCAGAGCUUAACUCUGGAACUGCCAUCAAAACUUUUCAGCUAGAGUUUGAUAGAGGAAAGCAGAAUUUCUAGUGUAGAGGUGAAAUUCGUAGAUAUUAGAAAGAAUACCAAUUGCGAAGGCAGCUUUCUGGAUCAUUACUGACACUGAGGAACGAAAGCAUGGGUAGCGAAGAGGAUUAGAUACCCUCGUAGGUCCAUGCCGUAAACGAUGUGUGUUAGACGUUGGAAAUUUAUUUUCAGUGUCGCAGCGAAAGCGAUAAACACACCGCAUGGGGAGUACGACCGCAAGGUUAAAACUCAAAUGAAUUGACGGGGACCCGCACAAGUAGUGGAGCAUGUGGUUUAAUUCGAAGAUACGCGCAGAACCUUACCAACACUUGACAUGUUCGUCGCGACUUUAAGAGAUUAAAGUUUUCGGUUCGGCCGGACGAAACACAGGUGCUGCAUGGCUGUCGUCAGCUCGUGUCGUGAGAUGUUGGGUUAAGUCCCGCAACGAGCGCAACCCUCACUUUUAGUUGCCAUCAUUAAGUUGGGCACUCUGAAAGAACUGCCAGUGAUAAGCUGGAGGAAGGUGGGGAUGACGUCAAGUCCUCAUGGCCCUUACGUGUUGGGCUACACACGUGCUACAAUGGUAUUUACAACAGGAAGCAAGACGGCGACGUUAAGCAAAUCCUUAAAAAAUACCUCAGUUCGGAUUGCACUCUGCAACUCGAGUGCAUGAAGCUGGAAUUACUAGUAAUCGUGGAUCAGCGUGCCACGGUGAAUGCGUUCCCGGGUCUUGUACACACCGCCCGUC
rnacentral:rRNA from 1 species